rnacentral:rRNA from 1 species
UACAGACUCCUACGGGAGGCAGCAGUGGGGCCUCUUGCACAAUGGGGGCCACACUGAUGCAGCGCCGCCGCGUGAGUGAAGAAGUAUCUCGGUACGUAAAGCUCUCUCAGCAGGGAAGAAAAUGACGGUCCCUGACUAAGAAGCCCCGGCUAACUACGUGCCAGCAGCCGCGGUAAUACGUAGGGGGCAAGCGUUAUCCGGAUUUACUGGGUGUAAAGGGAGCGUAGACGGCAAUACAAGUCGGAAGUGAAAUACCCGGGCUUAACCUGGGAACUGCUUUGGAAACUGUAUGGCUGGAGUGCUGGAGAGGUAAGCGGAAUUCCUAGUGUAGCGGUGAAAUGCGGAGAUAUUAGGAGGACCACCAGUGGCGAAGGCGGCUUACUGGACAGUAACUGACGUUGAGGCUCGAAAGCGUGGGGAGCAAACAGGAUUAGAUACCCCUGUAUC